ACUGGAUUAUUUGAGGCCCUCUGUCUGAGGUGAGGCCCGCCUCAGUCCUCCCUCAGCGUCUUACCUUGCCUCCUCACCGAGCCUGGGCCGGCUUCCCUCCGCCGACGUCAGGCCGUCGCUCGUUGCUCAGGGCGAGAAUCUCGCGGUCUUCUGACCUCCAAUGCGCAAGUCAGUGGCGUCACAUCCUGGCAACGGUACUACCCUGGGUUCCGGGCAGGGGUGGAACUGGAUUCUGCCUGGAUGGGGAUCGGAUGGGGGUGGAGGUUUGAUUUGGGAAGCAGAGCACAGCAGCCCAAAUUUGUUGUAAUGGCGGCGGCUACAGGUACCCUUGUGACUAUGAAGAUUGACAAAAAGUUGACGGCAACGAUGAAUUCUCUUCCAGAACUUACAUCCCAGAAGGCCCUCCCCUACUUCGGGUCUCCCUAGAGAGUGGAGAGACCUGCUGCCCUUGAAGAAGCAAACAGCCAUGUUGUGAGCUGCCUAAGCCUCUAGGUCUUGAGGGAAGCUUACAGUUAAGAGCCAGCAAAAGCCAGGGCCCUCAGUCAUGCCACACAAGGAAACGAAUCCUGCCAGCAACUAUGGGGGCUUGGAAGAGGAUAUUAAGCUUCAGUUGAGAAUGCAGCCUGACUGACACCAUCAUUGCAGCCUUGUGAGACCCCAAUCAGAGGACCCAGCUGAGCUGUACCCAGACUCCUAACCCACGGAAACUGAGAAAAUAAAUGUGUGCUAUUUAUAGCUGCU
rnacentral:lncRNA from 1 species